UCCCUGGUAGUCCAGUGGUUAAGACUCUGCACUGCCCAUGCAGGGGGCUGGGGUUCAAUCCCUGGUUGGGAA
rfam:TPA: Bos taurus chromosome 8, whole genome shotgun sequence.